UACGAACGCUGGCGGCGUGCUUAACACAUGCAAGUCGAGGGCAUCCCGCAAGGGAUGACCGGCGAACGGGUGCGUAACACGUGAGCAACCUGCCGUCCCACGGGGGAUAGCCGGCCCAACGGCCGGGUAAUACCGCAUACGCUCUUCGGGUGGCAUCACCUGGAGAGGAAACUUCCGGGGUGGGACGAGGGGCUCGCGGCCUAUCAGCUAGUUGGUGAGGUCAUGGCUCACCAAGGCGAUGACGGGUAGCUGGUCUGAGAGGAUGGCCAGCCACAUUGGGACUGAGAGACGGCCCAGACUCCUACGGGAGGCAGCAGUGGGGAAUCUUGCGCAAUGGCCGGAAGGCUGACGCAGCGACGCCGCGUGUGGGAGGACGCUCUUCGGGGGUGUAAACCACUGUUGCCCGGGACGAACCCGGAGCUUUGGCUCCGCUGACGGUACCGGGUGAGGAAGCACCGGCUAACUCCGUGCCAGCAGCCGCGGUAAUACGGAGGGUGCGAGCGUUGUCC
rnacentral:rRNA from 1 species